rnacentral:sRNA from 1 species
UACAUGAGAUUAUAUCCUGAUGCAAUUGC